AUGGAAACAGUGGAGCAGCAGGCGGUGGCGAUCAACACCAAGCUCGAUUCCAUCGUCGAGCAACUCAAGGGCAUGACCGCGUGGAUGCAGACCAUGGAUUCCACGGCGAAGUUGCUCACUGCCUCGGCCUUCCUCCUUCAGCUUCAUGCGGAUGAUGCUACGGCGCGUCUGGAGGCGCUUGAAUCGCCUCCGGCUCGUUCCUCAGGUCCAGCCAACACCAGUGCGCCAACCCCAACCGUGGAGGUGCGCACUUACAGCGUGGAUCGGCCCAACGGGCACGACGGGCAUCACCAACAACCGAGGCUAGUUCUCGGGGAUCAUCGAUCCUCAGAUCUGCCACCGGCCAACGGCAUGCCCUUACUCUGCACUUCAACUGUUUGA
rnacentral:rRNA from 1 species